GGUUGUGUAGUGUAGUGGUUAGCACUAUCGGUUUUGAUCCGAUCAACCUGGGUUCGAACCCCAGCACGACCU
rnacentral:tRNA from 1 species